rnacentral:rRNA from 1 species
GACGAACGCUGGCGGCGUGCUUAACACAUGCAAGUCGAACGAGUGGCGAACGGGUUAGUAACACGUGAGUAACCUGCCCCUUCUUCUGGAUAACUGCUUGAAAGGGUAGCUAAUACGGGAUAGUGGGGGAUGGGCUCGCGGCCUAUCAGCUUGUUGGGGGGGUGAUGGCCUACCAAGGCGGUGACGGGUGGCCGGCCUGAGAGGGUGGCAGGCCACACUUGGACUGAGACACGGCCCAGACUCCUACGGGAGGAGGCGGUGGGGAAUAUUGCAGAAUGGGCGCAAGCCGGAGGCAGCGAGGCCGCGUGAGGGAUGGAGGCCUUCGGGUUGUAAACCUCUUUCGACAGGGAAGCGGUAGCUGGAUAAGAAGCGCCGGCUAACUACGUGCCAGCCGCCGCGGUAAUUC